GGGCGCAUGGUGUAGUUGGUUAUCACGCUCGCUUAGCAUCCAAAGGAUCCGGUUGCGAGAGGUGUUGGGUUCAAUUCCCAAUGCGUCCA